rnacentral:rRNA from 1 species
UACGUAGGGGGCAAGCGUUGUCCGGAAUUAUUGGGCGUAAAGAGCGCGUAGGCGGUCCGAUAAGUCGGCUGUGAAAGUCAGGGGCUCAACCCUUGGAAGCCGGCCGAUACUGUCGGACUAGAGUCCGGAAGAGGCGAGUGGAAUUCCCGGUGUAGCGGUGAAAUGCGCAGAUAUCGGGAGGAACACCUGCGGCGAAGGCGGGUUGCUGGGCUGACACUGACGCUGAUUGUGCGAAAGCUAGGGGAGCGAACGGG